GUUGAUUGUUUCCAAAUAAAUAAUAAUUGUCCUCUGUAUUUUUCCCAUAUUUUUCCAUUAAGAAAGUUUUUAAUUUAAAUUAUCAAUAUGGUUAUGGGCUUUGUUCCAGAAUGUAAACAUUACAGUUAAAAGAAAACUUGUUCUUUUUUUCGUUUCCCAAAAGACCUAGUUCUUCUAAAGAAGUGGAGGUAUACCGAAGUGGAUUUCACUUGUGAGACGUGGAGACAGGAAUCCAAGUCCAUCUUCUUUGAUUUGUUCAUGUCACUUUAGUAAUGGGGACAAAAAAAAUAUGUCAACGUUAUUUGAACAUAAUGAAAACAAGCUAUUUUCGUUCUAAUCUCCAGAGAAAAAGAAGAAAAGGUGAUAAUAAUA